rnacentral:rRNA from 1 species
UACGGGGGGAGCAAGCGUUGUUCGGAUUUACUGGGCGUAAAGCGCGUUAAGGCGGUUGGCAAAGUUGGUGGUGAAAUCUCAGGGCUCAACCCUGAAACUGCCUCCAAUACUGGUCGACUAGAGUGUGAGAGAGGAAGGUGGAAUUCCCGGUGUAGUAGUGAAAUGCGUAGAUAUCGGGAGGAACACCAGUGGCGAAGGCGGCCUUCUGGCUCACAACUGACGCUGUAGCGCGAAAGCGUGGGGAGCGAACGGG